rnacentral:sRNA from 1 species
GAGAACCUCCGGGGGCAAGAGGUUCGACUCGAGCGAAGCGAGAGAACGUUGCGUCAGCAACGGCCCGCAGGGCGAGCCAC